UUUUGUUUUGUUUGUUUUGAGACGGAGUUUUACUCUUGCUGCCCAGGCUGGAGUGCAAUGGUAUGAUCCUGGCUCACCGCAACCUCCGCCUCCCAGGUUCAAGUGAUUCUCCUGCCUCAGCUUCCCAAGUAGCUGGGAUUACAGAUAAGAGAAAGGCCAGAUCCAACAAACAUUGACUGAGCCAUCACCAAAUGUGGGGCCCCGCGGCAGAGACUCGAAGGGUCGUUCUGCAUAAAAAAGUUGAUGACAGCAUAGCUUCGUUUAUACAGCUGGGACCCUCUGGAGUCUACAGAUGGAUUGUUAGAGAUGUGGCCUGCCAGCUGCCUUUGGAGAGUAGCCAAAUCUGCUGGGACCCAGCCACUUCAGGCACAGAUGUGCUUGCCUUUCCUGAAUGGAUGUCUUCCAGAAACGUUGGCUGUGAUGUCUGGUUUUUGUAUCUAUUGUUACUUCCAACGAAGACACAUAUACAAAAGACUCCUGGCUGCCUUUUAAAUGAAAACGUGCAGCAUAUUAGGAUCAAUCAUUUGUCUAAUGUUGGUAAGAGGGCUCACACCUAUAAUUCCAGCACUUGGAAGGCCAAGGUGAACGAAUCACCUGAGGUCAGCAGUUUGAGACCAGCCUGGCCAACAUGGCUUAGAAUCAAGUUGGAGAUCCCAAACUUCAAUAUGUACUUCUUCCUAAAACGUAUCCGCUUGAGAAAGUAUCCAUGGUGGAGGCAGCAAGCCAGUCUUACUUUUCUACCUCUCCUUUCACCAUUGAUCUCCUUGCACUUUACUAAAGAGAGGCAAACUCUCACCCACCCUGGCUCUCACUAUGGCACAUUGCCUCAGGAAUGUAAGCACUUCUUGGAAAAUAAACAAAGAGGCAAUUUGAAAUACUGUGCUAGUGUCAAAAAAGUGGAUGACUCUAAUUAA
rnacentral:lncRNA from 1 species